GAAAUGCGAUAAGUAAGGUGAAUUGCAGAAUUCAGUGAAUCAUCGAAUCUUUGAACGCACCUUGCGCUCCUUGGUAUUCCUUGGAGCAUGCCUGUUUGAGUAUCAUGAAAUCUUCAAAGUAAAUCUUUUGUUAACUCAAUUGGUUUCUACUUUGGUAUUGGAGGUCUUUGCAGCUUCACACCUGCUCCUCUAUGUUCAUUAGCUGGAUCUCAGUGUUAUGCUUGGUUCCACUCGGCGUGAUAAGUUAUCUAUCGCUGAGGACACUGUAAAAGGUGGCCAAGGUAAAUGCAGAUGAACCGCUUCUAAUAGUCCAUUGACUUGGACAAUACUUUUAUGAUCUGAUCUCAAAUCAGGUAGGACUACCCGCUGAACUUAAGC
rnacentral:misc_RNA from 1 species